UUAGCUCAGGUGGUAGAGCAUCUGACUUUUAAUCAGAGGGUCACAGGUUCGAAUCCUGUAUG
rnacentral:tRNA from 1 species